rnacentral:misc_RNA from 1 species
GAUGAAGAACGUAGCGAAAUGCGAUAAGUAAUGUGAAUUGCAGAAUUCAGUGAAUCAUCGAAUCUUUGAACGCACAUUGCGCCCCUUGGUAUUCCGGGGGGCAUGCCUGUUCGAGCGUCAUUAUCACCCCUCAAGCUCAGCUUGGUGUUGGGGCCUGCCCGUCACAGGGCAGCCCUUAAAAGCAGUGGCGGUGCCAUCUGGCUCUACGCGUAGUAAUACUUCUCGCGACAGAGUCCCGGUGGUGUCCUGCCAGAACCCCCCAUAUUUUUAAUGAUUGACCUCGGAUCAGGUAGGGAUACCCGCUGAACUUAAGCAUACAAUAAGCGGAGGA